ACACAAGCGACUUGCCUGAUGUCAUAGAGCUGAUAAGAGAGAGCUGGGGUUUGAAUUAAGAGAGCCUUGAAGAGCCUCCAGCCUGCAGCUGCUGUCUAGACUGUUCUCUGAAAACAGCACCCAGAUUCUUACCUGAACUUUCCACCACCUUCUCCAGGGCAUGCCCUGCACCCUGGAUCCCACUUCAUUGUCUUUCUUGGAUUCUUCCCUUCUUUUGAGGGGAAUACUUCCUCCAGUAACUUCCUGAGGAAGGGGACUAGGAGUGGGACCUUCAAGAUGACGGAGGAGUAAGAUGUGGAGAUCACCUUCCUCCUCACAGUUACAUCAGAAAUACAUCUACACGUGGAACUGCUCCUACAGAACACCUACUGAACGCUGGCAGAAGACCUCAGACCUCU